rnacentral:rRNA from 1 species
UACGGAAGGCAGCAGUGGGGAAUAUUGGACAAUGGGCGAAAGCCUGAUCCAGCCAUGCCGCAUGAGUGAAGAAGGCCUUCGGGUUGUAAAGCUCUUUUAGUGAGAAAGAUAAUGACGGUACUCACAGAAGAAGUCCUGGCUAACUCCGUGCCAGCAGCCGCGGUAAUACGGAGAGGGCUAGCGUUAUUCGGAAUUACUGGGCGUAAAGGGCACGCAGGCGGUUAAUUAAGUUGGAUGUGAAAUCCCCGGGCUUAACCUGGGAAUGGCAUUCAAGACUGGUUAGCUAGAGUCUUGUAGAGGGGGUAGAAUUCCAUGUGUAGCGGUGAAAUGCGUAGAGAUGUGGAGGAAUACCGGUGGCGAAGGCGGCCCCCUGGACAAAGACUGACGCUCAUGUGCGAAAGCGUGGGGAGCAAACAGGGAUUAGAUACC